rnacentral:rRNA from 1 species
UACGUAGGGUGCGAGCGUUAAUCGGAAUUACUGGGCGUAAAGCGUGCGCAGGCGGUUCGUUAAGUCAGCUGUGAAAGCCCCGGGCUUAACCUGGGAAUGGCGGUUGAAACUGGCGAACUUGAAUCUGGCAGAGGGGGGUGGAAUUCCACGUGUAGCAGUGAAAUGCGUAGAGAUGUGGAGGAACACCGAUGGCGAAGGCAGCCCCCUGGGCUGAGAUUGACGCUCAGGCACGAAAGCGUGGGAGCAAACAGG